UAUGGUCAUAUCACGUUGAAACACCAGCUCUUGUACAAUCACUGAAGUUAAAUGCCAUUGAGUCUGGUCAGUACUUAGGUGGGUGACUGCUUGGGAAUACAAGGUGUUGUAAG